rnacentral:rRNA from 1 species
UACGUUGGGGGCUAGCGUUGUCCGGAAUCAUUGGGCGUAAAGAGCGUGUAGGCGGCCCGGUAAGUCCGCUGUGAAAGUCGGGGGCUCAACCCUCGGAUGCCGGUGGAUACUGUCGGGCUCGAGUACGGAAGAGGCGAGUGGAAUUCCUGGUGUAGCGGUGAAAUGCGCAGAUAUCAGGAGGAACACCUAUUGCGAAGGCAGCUCGCUGGGACGUUACUGACGCUGAGACGCGAAAGCUAGGGGAGCGAAUGGG